GCCGGACUCGGGGUGGGAUUAACCACAUUCCCCUUCUCCCACAUACUCUUGAUGCUCCGCAGGCCUUCAGCCACAGUGUUACUCGACUCUUCAUUCUCCAUAUUGCUCAGGCGUUCCUGACGGGCUCGUCUCCGGUGCUCCCGGGCCGCCUCCUCGUCAUCAUCGUAAGAGUUCAUCCUGUAGAGGCGGUGGGACACAGACAUGCAAAUGUUGUAGAUGGUAGAGAGAAACCCAUAACAGGGACCGCAAUUCUAUUUCUCCAUCCCGAGACCAACAGCGGAAAUCCGAAACAAUCCGGUUCUCUCAGGGAGUUCCAUAUCCAAGAAGACAGUCAGAUGGAGUAUCUGUGAUUUUCCUGGAAGAAUACAGUCUGUCUUCUGUAAGAAGUGUUGCUGGAUGAAUACAAUAGCUUUCAGACCUCCAGUGCGGCAGACGAAAUGCAAGGAGAGAUGGAGGGAGAAAGCUCACACUCUUGACGGAUACUGAAACAUUAUGGCUGAAUCUUGGAAUAAAAGCAGCAGUCAAAACAUUCCAAAGUCUGUGGAGUUUCCUUAACCUGCUGCAGAGAGAUUCAGCACAUGACAGAGGCCAGAUUCCCAUUGUAUUGAAGGCCAGGGCUGCAUUGGACUGUUGGUGCCAAUGGGUUCUACAAUCUACUUAGGUUUACAAUGCUUUUGGGAAGCAUUAGCUGUGCUAGUUUCAUGUGUUUCAUUUCACUCUAUGGUCUCUUUCUUUUCACGUAAUAAAAUAAUUUCAGCUUAAAUUAAUAUUUCAUGUCCAUUUAUUAUUAUGUACAGUCAGUCUGUCAUGAUAACAAAAUAAACUCCA